rnacentral:rRNA from 1 species
UGAGUACGAGAUGCUACGGCAUCGAAGCAGUCUAUGUCAUACUUCCAAGAAAAGCUUGCACUGUCAUAAACAAAGAAUGCCUGUACCAUAACCGACACAGGUGGGUAGGUAGAGUAUACUAAGGGGCGCGAGAUAACUCUCUCUAAGGAACUCGGCAAAAUGACUCCGUAACUUCGGGAGAAGGAGUGCCUUAUUUCUAAGGUUGCAAUAACAAGAUCCAAGCAACUGUUUACCAAAAACACAGGUCUCCGCUAAGUCGUAAGACGAUGUAUGGGGGCUGACGCCUGCCCAGUGCCAGAAGGUUAAAGAAGUUGGUUAGCAUUAGCGAAGCUGAUAACUGAAGCCCUGGUGAACGGCGGCCGUAACAAUAACGGUCCUAAGGUAGCGAAAUUCCUUGUCGGGUAAGUUCCGACCCGCACGAAAGGCGUAAUGAUUUGGAUACUGUCUCGGAGAGGGGCUCGGUGAAAUAGACUUGUCUGUGAAGAUGCGGACUACCUGCACCUGGACAGAAAGACCCUAUGAAGCUUUACUGUAACUUGAGAUUGAAAUUGGACUUUAUUUGCGCAGUAUAGGUGGGAGGCGUUGAGAAUAAUCUUGCGGGAUUGUUGGAGCCAUCAGUGAGAUACCACUCUUGUAAUGUUAGAUUUCUAACUUUGUAUCAUUAUCUGGUCAAAGAACAGUUUCAGGCGGGCAGUUUGACUGGGGCGGUCGCCUCCCAAAGGGUAACGGAGGCGCACAAAGGUUUCCUCUGAACGGGUAGAAAUCGUAUCUAGAGUGUAAAGGCAUAAGGAAGCUUGACUGUGAGACCUACAAGUCGAGCAGGGACGAAAGUCGGUCUUAGUGAUCUGACGGUGCUGAGUGGAAAGGCCGUCACUCAACGGAUAAAAGUUACUCUAGGAUAACAGGCUGAUCUCCCCCAAGAGUUCACAUCGACGGGGAGGUUUGGCACCUCGAUGUCGGCUCAUCGCAUCCUGGGGCGGUAGUCCGUCCCAAGGGUUGGGCUGUUCGCCCAUGAAAGCGGUACGCGAGCUGGGUUCAGAACGUCGUGAGACAGUUCGGUCCAUAUCCGGUGUAGGCGUUAGAAUAUUGAGAGGAGCCUUCUCUAGUACGAGAGGACCGAGAAGGACAUACCUCUGGUGUACCAGUUAUCGUGCCAACGGUAAACGCUGGGUAGCUAUGUAUGGAGUGGAUAACCGCUGAAAGCAUCUAAGUGGGAAGCCCACCUCAAGAUAAGUAUUCUCA